rnacentral:rRNA from 1 species
UUGAACGCUGGCGGAAUGCUUUACACAUGCAAGUCGAGCGGCAGCGCGGGGGCAACCCUGGCGGCGAGCGGCGAACGGGUGAGUAACACAUCGGAACGUACCCUGUCGUGGGGGAUAACACAUCGAAAGAUGUGCUAAUACCGCAUACGACCUGAGGGUGAAAGCGGGGGAUCGCAAGACCUCGCGCGAUAGGAGCGGCCGAUGUCGGAUUAGCUAGUUGGUGAGGUAAAGGCUCACCAAGGCGACGAUCCGUAGCUGGUCUGAGAGGACGACCAGCCACACUGGAACUGAGACACGGUCCAGACUCCUACGGGAGGCAGCAGUGGGGAAUUUUGGACAAUGGGCGAAAGCCUGAUCCAGCCAUGCCGCGUGCAGGAUGAAGGCCUUCGGGUUGUAAACUGCUUUUGUACGGAACGAAAAAGUCUUCUCUAAUACAGGGGGCGAAUGACGGUACCGUAAGAAUAAGCACCGGCUAACUACGU